UGGGGAAUAUUGGGCAAUGGGCGAAAGCCUGACCCAGCGACGCCGCGUGGGUGAUGAAGGCCUUCGGGUUGUAAAGCCCUUUCGUGUGGAAAGAACAGUCCCGCGACGAAUACUCGCGGGAUUUGACGGUACCACAGGAAGAAGCACCGGCUAACUCCGUGCCCGCAGCCGCGGUAAUCCGGAGGGUGCGAGCGUUGUUCGGAAUUACUGGGCGUAAAGGGCGCGUAGGCGGCAGUGAUAGUCAGGUGUGAAAUCCUUCGGCUUAACCGGAGAACUGCAUCUGAAACUGCAUAGCUAGAGUACAGGAGAGGGAAACGGAAUUCCCGGUGUAGAGGUGAAAUUCGUAGAUAUCGGGAGGAACACCAGUGGCGAAGGCGGUUUCCUGGCCUGAUACUGACGCUGAGGCGCGAAAGCGUGGGGAGCAAACA
rnacentral:rRNA from 1 species